UACGUAGGGGGCGAGCGUUGUCCGAAUUUACUGGGCGUAAAGCGCGCGUAGGCGGCUACUCGAGUCCGGGGUGAAAGGUUCAGCGCUCAACGCGAACAGUGCCUUGGAUACUGGGUGGCUUGAGUCUGGCAGGGGGGGACGGAAUUCCUGGUGUAGCGGUGAAAUGCGUAGAUAUCAGGAGGAACACCGGUGGCGAAGGCGGUCCCCUGGGCUAAGACUGACGCUGAGGUGCGAAAGCGUGGGGAGCGAACGGG
rnacentral:rRNA from 1 species